CCUACGGGGGGCUGCAGUGGGGAAUAUUGGACAAUGGGGGGAACCCUGAUCCAGCCAUGCCGCGUGUGUGAAGAAGGCCCUCGGGUUGUAAAGCACUUUCAGUGAGGAAGAACGCCUGGUGGUUAAUACCCAUCAGGAAAGACAUCACUCACAGAAGAAGCACCGGCUAACUCCGUGCCAGCAGCCGCGGUAAUACGGAGGGGGCGAGCGUUAAUCGGAAUUACUGGGCGUAAAGCGCGCGUAGGUGGCUUGAUAAGCCGGUUGUGAAAGCCCCGGGCUCAACCUGGGAACGGCAUCCGGAACUGUCAAGCUAGAGUGCAGGAGAGGAAGGUAGAAUUCGCGGUGUAGCGGUGAAAUGCGUAGAGAUCGGGAGGAAUACCAGUGGCGAAGGCGGCCUUCUGGACUGACACCGACACUGAGGUUCGAAAGCGUGGGUAGCAAACAGGAUUAGAUACCCCUGUAGUC
rnacentral:rRNA from 1 species